GUCAUAACCUGCCCCCAACACUAGAGCGACCUGUACCGAAUUCUUUUUCCCAACCAUCCAUAUCCGAUGCUUUUCUCACCCCUUCACUUCUCUCCACGAUAAAAGAAAGAAAUGACUUGGAGGAAGCGGGAGACAGAGGAGACGCACGGGGCGACGCUACACCGGCAGCGGCUCGCCCUCCAGUGAUCCUCCAGCCAUCCUUCGAAUCGACUUGACCAAAACGCUCCACCUUGCCCCCGUAAUUCAUUAGUCCCUUCGUCCUUCCCCAAUCGCCACUCUCUCCAGAUGCCUUGCUUCUAUUUGGUCAGCCAUGGCCAUGGAAAGGUGUGCCGGUUGGCCACAUCUAUGAGUUCCCCGUUGCUGGGCCUCCUAGAGGCGUGGUGGUUGUGUUGCUGGAGGGAGAUGCAACAACGAGAUGUAGGAGAUAUGGGGGAGAGAGAUCACAGGGAAGAAGGCAAGAUGGUGAAGAGGGGUGCUAGGAGGGCACAGGGAAGAGGAGAUCUCGAGGCCUCAUCACAAUUGAUACGUCUCCAACGUAUCUAUAAUUUUCUAUUUUUUUCAUGCUAUUAUAUUAUAAUCUUGUAUGCUUUAUAUGCAAUUUUAUAUCAUUUUUGAGAACUAAGCUAUUAACUCAGUGCUCAGUGCCAGUUCAUGUUUUUGCCUAUUUCUUUGUUUUGCAGAAAAACCAUACCAAACGAAGACCAAACACAAUGAAACUUUACGGUGAUUUUUUGGACCAGAAGAGACCCUAGAAGCUUCGAGGGAGGGCCAGAAGACCUGCAGGUGGGCAACAAGCUCAAAGGGCGCGCCACCUGAGCUUGUGGGCCCCACAAGGCUCCACCUGACCUAAUUCCAGCGGUACAAACUCCCUAAAUUCCAGAAACCCCCAGAGCGAGACCCGUAACAGCCGCAAGCCUCUGUUCUUAUGCAAUCCCAUCUGGAGGCCUCCGUCAUACUCUGUCAGAGGGGAUAUCGAUCACGGAGGCCAUAUUCAUCGACCUUGAUGCCUCCAUGAUGAUAUGUGAGUAGUUCCCACAGGGCCUAUGGGUCCAUAACAUUAGCUAUCUCUCUCUCUCUCUCUCUCUCUCUCUCUCUCUCUCUCUCUUGAUCUUCAAUACAAUGAUCUGUUC
rnacentral:rRNA from 1 species